AUUGAACGCUAGCGGGAUGCUUUACACAUGCAAGUCGAACGGAGUGGCGGACGGGUGAGCUAGAUAUCGGAACGUGCCCAGUAGCGGGGGAUAACUACUCGAAAGAGAGACUGAUACCGCAUAACAUUGGAGCGGCCGAUAUCGGAUGAGCUAGGUGGUGUGGUAAAGGCUCACAAAGACAAGGAUCCGUAGUUGGUUUGAGAGGAGGACGAGCCACACUGGGACUGAGACACGGGCCAGACUCCUACGAGAGGCAGCAGUAGGGAAUUUUGGACAAUGGGCGAAACCCUGAUCCAGCCAUCCCGCGUGUAGGAUGAAGGCCUUCGGGUUGUAAAGUACUUUAGGCAGAUAAGCGGUAUCUCCAGAAUAAGCACCGGCUAACUACGUGCCAGCAGCCGCGGUAAUAC
rnacentral:rRNA from 1 species